CAGAGCUUCUGAUUUAUCUUUCUCAGAAAAAAAUCGACUCUGAGCUUCCUAAACCAAUUCUGCAACUGAACCAACACGUGGCAAGUGGGGAAAAUAGGAGAAUUCAUUUCUGAACUGCACUGCUGCUCUGAAGGGACAGAUUAAUGGAUGUGGCCCAUUAGUGUGAAACACAUGGUUUUUUGGGAGGCUGGGAGAAUUCAGAAUAUAUUGAAAUUCCAUGUUAUACUGUCAGCAGCUGCCAGUUCAAUGAAGUAACGUAUAUGGUGCAAGAACUGAAACCAUGGGGCAUAUUCCAGCUUUGGGAAGUGACAACAAAGAAUAUGCAAGAUGAAAGCAAUUCCUUGCUGUUAAAAUGCUCAUUCCUCUGGCAAGAAAUAGGAGAUGCUUGGUGGUUGAACAGGGUUAUGCUGUGACCUUGAGACAAACCUCUGGAAGCAGCCCAUCCCUCCAGCAACACGCUGUGUUCCAGCUCCUGCCUCGGAUCCUCUGCCUGGAUCUAAUGAGGAGAUGGACUAAAACCAUGGAAAGCUGCAGCUCUUCUCUAGCUUUAGGUGGAGUUAUUCUAAUUUGCUACUGCUUCUGUAAGAAGAGAAUUUGAUCCACUCUGUUCUUCAAUGAAAUU